GGCCCAUGAUCCGGCUGGAGAAGGACACUGCCUGUCUAGCAGAUGUUGAGGGGUUCGAUUCCCCUAUGGGUCGCCA
rnacentral:tRNA from 1 species